AGAGAGGACCCCUCCUAAAUGGUUUUUGAUCUUAAUUUUCAGUUUAUUAAACCUUUUUAAAUUGACAUUGUUCGAUUCACUUUAAGGUCCAAAAAUGUCACUACCCACAUCUUACUUAACCGAGACAAAAUGUAAUCUACAUUUUCGUGCCUUCGUAGUAAUGAGACUAACUGAAGCUCACUUUUUUUUUGAGAUGGAGGGAGCCGCAAACCCAAGACACCAAAGAUGGACAGAGUUCCAACCCCCUAAAUUAAAAUGACAACACCAAAUCAAGGACAUUCGUGACACAUCACAUCCAUAUCCGUGAACCGUUCCUCAUCUCCAUCGCCUCGUGCAACGAAUUUGAGAAAGCGGAAGCCUAAACCGGAAAAUAGAAGACAGCGUUAAACCCUAAAAGCUUACUCUUAACGCCGGUAACUGCUUUUAAACCUCACUGUGAUACUAGAGAGAGCAUCACGACCGGAAAAGAUCUCCUUGUGAGUGAAUCUCAACCAUGUAGCAAACCCUAGCCCAGUUUCAAAAGUAUAUCAGGAGAGAGGGAGAGACCGAGCAAAAUAGCAAAGAGGAAAAUUGACAGAAUUUGCCUCUGACGUUAGCAAAAACGAAGGUCGGACGCCGGAGUUCGAGCUGGAUUUGUUUUGUUGGUCGUUUUUGUUGUCACUUGGUUAGAGAGAAAAAAAUGCUUUUUUAUUGUAGUUGUUUUUGUUGUCAUUGUUUUUUUAGAAGAAAAUAAUAUAGUUAUUAGAGAUAUUUUCGCACCCCCUUCAUACUUAAAAUCAUUUAUUUCAAACUAUUUCAAUUUCAUAUGCUUGUUGGCAUUUUUUUAGUUAUUGCGAUUUUGAUUGCUUUUUUGUCAAUAAUCUAUAUAAAUAAAGGAGGCUUUGCUCUCUCCUUAGCAUGUCCAGCUCAGCAGGGAGAAGGGGGCUUUUUAUCGCCACGUGUGUGUCAUGAGGGACGAAGUACGGAAUUUUGUUUUUGAUGUAUUAUUAUGUUCAUGGACUCGAUAUUUGGUAUGGGCCUUUAUUCAAUUCAAAAGGGGCCGUGUAUAGCUAGAUAUUAUUCGUCUAGGACAGUCCGCCGUUUCAAUUACGUCUUCUCGCCGUUGAAUACCUUCUUAUUCUUCUAGAGACGUAACGGGACUAGGCUGAAUCCAAAGGUCGUCUUUAACGCACUUUUAACAAUUGCUCCAACUCCUCUCACAAUCUAUCAUUGAAUGCAUCUUCCUUUAUUUCCUUUCUCUGAAUCUUCGACUAUAUAUAAAGGUAUUUCCUAUCCCGUGAGAUUCAUCUCUUCGAUCCUCUCACCCGUAAGCUUUCCAAUUCCACACAUUGAUGGUCUCUGACGAAGGUAAUCUUUAGGAUUAUAGAUUUUGGGAAGUACUUAAAACUGUGCAUGCUAAUUCAUUUUGAGUUAGACACAAGUAUGGAAACAACUCUGUAAUCCGACAAGUUACCUUCUCAAUAUUCAAUUCCACUGAAUAAUUUCUUCCAGCGACAAGGUUCCCUGUCUAACAAGAACAUCAACGGAAGAGGGCCAAGGAGCUACUCAAUCCACAGUACUGUCCUUAUUUCUGGAUGAAUGAUUUUUGGCAGAGUAUAUGGAACAUGAGAGAGGUUUGAGGAAGUCGGGAAGAGAAGGAUACAUACGUCGUGGCUUAGGGAAAAGAGGUUGAGGUUGUUCAAAAAAAAAGGGAAAAGAGGUUGCUUUGUUGACCGAAUGAUAUUGCAUAUUUUCUUUAAUUUUCUUUCUAAUCAAAAGAACAUGUGGUAUAUUGAAAUUUAUCCUUUUGUUAGGCUGGAGUCUGAAAAUCAAUUAGUUCUUAAAAUUUGUAGUCAUGACUGAAGCCAAGUUUUGUUAUUCUCAGACAAGAAAAACACUCAAGGAAGGGGAACAAUUUACAUUGA